CGUAGGUGGCGAGCGUUGUCCGGAUUUAUUGGGUUUAAAGGGUGCGUAGGCGGUCUUGUAAGUCAGUGGUGAAAUACGGCAGCUUAACUGUCGAGGUGCCAUUGAUACUGCAGGACUUGAGUACAGACGAGGUAGGCGGAAUUGACGGUGUAGCGGUGAAAUGCUUAGAUAUCGUCAAGAACACCGAUAGCGAAGGCAGCUUACUAGACUGUAACUGACGCUGAUUCACGAAAGUGUGGGGAUCAAACAGGAUUAGAUACCCUGGUAGUCCACACUGUAAACGAUGAUUACUCGAUGUUGGCGAUACACAGCCAGCGUCUUAGCGAAAGCGAUAAGUAAUCCACCUGGGGAGUACGCCGGCAACGGUG
rnacentral:rRNA from 1 species